UACGGAGGGGGCAAGCGUUACUCGGAAUUAUUGGGCGUAAAGGGCGCGUAGGCGGUCGGGCGCGUCGGAGGUGAAAUCCCCGGGCUUAACCCGGGAGCUGCCUCCGAUACGGCAUGGCUUGAGUCCGGGAGAGGGGAGCAGAAUUCCCAGUGUAGCGGUGAAAUGCGUAGAUAUUGGGAGGAAUACCGGUGGCGAAGGCGGCUCCCUGGACCGGUACUGACGCUGAGGCGCGAAAGCGUGGGUAGCAAACAGG
rnacentral:rRNA from 1 species